GUGCUUACACAUGCAGUCGAACGAUGAACUGGAGCUUGCUCCAGGGAUUAGUGGCGAACGGGUGASUAACACGUGAGUAACCUGCCCUUGACUCUGGGAUAAGCGCUAGAAAUGGCGUCUAAUACCGGAUACGAGCUUCAGCCGCAUGGCUAGGAGUUGGAAAGAAUUUUGGUCAAGGAUGGACUCGCGGCCUAUCAGCUAGUUGGUGAGGUAAUGGCUCACCAAGGCGACGACGGGUAGCCGGCCUGAGAGGGUGACCGGCCACACUGGGACUGAGACACGGCCCAGACUCCUACGGGAGGCAGCAGUGGGGAAUAUUGCACAAUGGGCGAAAGCCUGAUGCAGCAACGCCGCGUGAGGGAUGACGGCCUUCGGGUUGUAAACCUCUUUUAGUAGGGAAGAAGCGAAAGUGACGGUACCUGCAGAAAAAGCACCGGCUAACUACGUGCCASCAGCCGCGGUAAUACSUAGGGUGCAAGCGUUGUCCGGAAUUAUUGGGCGUAAAGAGCU
rnacentral:rRNA from 1 species